rnacentral:rRNA from 1 species
UGAGGAAUAUUGGUCAAUGGGCGCAAGCCUGAACCAGCCAAGCCGCGUGAAGGAUGAAGGCCCUAUGGGUUGUAAACUUCUUUUAUACGGGAAGAACCCCCCGACGUGUCGGGGACUGACGGUACCGUACGAAUAAGCAUCGGCUAACUCCGUGCCAGCAGCCGCGGUAAUACGGAGGAUGCAAGCGUUAUCCGGAUUUAUUAGGUAUAAAGGGUGCGUAGGCGGACCUGUUAGUCAGUGGUGAAAUACUACGGCUUAACCGUAGAACUGCCAUUGAUACUGCAGGUCUUGAGUACAGUUGAGGUAGGCGGAAUGUGUGGUGUAGCGGUGAAAUGCUUAGAUAUCACACAGAACACCGAUUGCGAAGGCAGCUUACUAAGUUGUAACUGACGCUGAUGCACGAAAGCAUGGGGAGCAAACAGG